GACGAACGCUGGCGGCGUGCUUAACACAUGCAAGUCGAACGGAAAGGCCCUGCUUUUGUGGGGUGCUCGAGUGGCGAACGGGUGAGUAACACGUGAGUAACCUGCCCUUGACUUUGGGAUAACUUCAGGAAACUGGGGCUAAUACCGGAUAGGAGCUCCUGCUGCAUGGUGGGGGUUGGAAAGUUUCGGCGGUUGGGGAUGGACUCGCGGCUUAUCAGCUUGUUGGUGGGGUAGUGGCUUACCAAGGCUUUGACGGGUAGCCGGCCUGAGAGGGGGACCGGCCACAUUGGGACUGAGAUACGGCCCAGACUCCUACGGGAGGCAGCAGUGGGGAAUAUUGCACAAUGGGCGGAAGCCUGAUGCAGAAACGCCGCGUGCGGGAUGACGGCCUUCGGGUUGUAAACCGCUUUCGCCUGUGACGAAGCGUGAGUGACGGUAAUGGGUAAAGAAGCACCGGCUAACUACGUG
rnacentral:rRNA from 1 species